rnacentral:rRNA from 1 species
AUUGAACGCUGGCGGCAGGCCUAACACAUGCAAGUCGAACGAGUGGCGGACGGGUGAGUAAUGUCUGGGAAACUGCCCGAUGGAGGGGGAUAACUACUGGAAACGGUAGCUAAUACCGCAUACCAUCGGAUGUGCCCAGAUGGGAUUAGUGAGUGGUGGGGGUAAUGGCUCACCUUGGCGACGAUCCCUAGCUGGUCUGAGAGGAUGACCAGCCACACGGGAACUGAGCAACGGUACAGACUCCUACGGGAGGAAGCAGUGGGGAAUAGUGCAGAAUGGGCGCAAGCCUGAUGCAGCCAUGCCGCGGGUAUGAAGAAGGCCUUCGGGUUGUAAAGUACUUUCAGCGAGGAGGCGUUACUCACAGAAGAAGCACCGGCUAACUCCGUGCCAGCAGCCGCGGUAAUAC